GAGACAGCCAGGUGGGAGGGGGUCCCUGGAGAAUCUCCAACCAGCCUGCGCACUGGGAAUGCGCACUGGAGUGAAAAUACAGAAGUUGGUGCCCUUUGCAGCAGCCAGGAGUCCGACUCCUCCUCUUCCUGUGUGGAACCUGGAAUUCAAACGGCUGGGUAGGAAGCACGCUAGCAGGGGCCUCUGGCCUUGCUGAGGGUCCCUGUUUCCCCUUUUCCUUCCUUUUCACCCAACAAAACCCUGCUUUACUCACCCUUCAAACCAUCUAUGAGCCUAAAUUGUCGUGGUCGUGGAAUGGACAAGGACCCAGUCUUUAGCUGAACUAAGGGAAAGUCCUGCUUUUUGGCGCGCAACAGGGGAGCUCAAGAAACAGGCCUCACUCACGGCAUAUGGAACUAACCACGCCCCUAACUAAGAAGGCACACCUUAGUUGCAGUUAGCACACAAUUAAAGCAACUCUCCAAGUUUUACCUUAAAGUUCAAAAUUGCUAGGAGUUGAAACUACUAGAAAUAUAUUUACAUGCAAGAGUCAAAGAAACUUUGAACUAUUUAUGGCCUUUAAUAAUUAAGUAAGGUAUACUCCUGUGAUCAAGACUUGGAGCAUAUUUGUUUCUCUCUGCCUGGUUCCUCUAGAAAUUGGAAACUAUCAGAACAGAGACCAACUCCGUUUCCCGAUCCCUUUGCAAUCUGCAUUGAACCAUGAGUCAAGUUCUUGAUAAAGGAGUGAAAAUGGAUGACAUUUAAGGCACAUCUGAAGAUGGGGAAACCACAGCACAGAAUAAGGCUGGGCCCUUGAAUCAAUAAAUGAAGGAGAACUACUCAAGAGAACAAAACCACCAGCAAUAUCCACCUGUAUUUGUCUUUUCAUAAUGUGUGACACAUGUGCUCAUGGAUUAUUGUCCGAAGCAAGACAUGUGACCAAGCCUAACAUCAACUGGGUGAAGAGCUAUAUGUUCCUUUCUCAAGAGGCACUACAAGUGACAUGCCACUGGGCAGGUGUUGUAGGGGGCAGGUCUUUCCUGUGCUGUUCUUGUGAAAGUGAGUAAGUCUCAUGAGAUCUGAAGGCUUUGAAAAACAGGAAUCUCCCUGUACAAGCUCUCUCUUUGCCUGCUGCCAUCCAUGUAAGACGUGACUUGCUCCUUCUUGUCUUCUGCCAUAAUUGUGAGUCUUCCCCAGCCAUGUGGAACUGUAAGUCCAGUUCAACCUCUUUCUUUUGUAAAUUGCCCAGUCUUGGAUAUGUCUUUAUCAGCAGUGUGAAAACAGAGUAAUACAGAAGUAAUUUCUAUGACAUUAUAUAAGAACUAAAGUUUUAUUUUUCCAAAAAUGUUGAAUGUUGAUGCUGUAUUCUGGUGAUGUUUGUUUUACCAGAAAAAUACAUCAUAUUCAGGAUAUGAACUAAACAAAAAUUAGUUGCUACUGCUCAACUGACUUAAAUAUGAGAUGUUGUCUAAUUAUCUCUGAUUGCUUCCUUUGGUUUCUAGUGAUUAAUUAUGCCUAAUUAUUCCUUGAUUUUUGGAAAAUCACAUUUAAGUUUCCUCUGCAAAGAAAAGAAUAGGUAAAUCAAGUCCUCUAGAAAAAAAGCAUAAAAAUAUAGUUUUGAAAUUCUAAAACUCAUAAAGGGAAAUAAAAAUCCCAUUCGUUUUUAUUUUAAUAUUUUGCUAGAAAGUACAAUGGAAGGAAAGAAGUCUUUUUUCUAAGACAGCAGUAUUUUAGUCAAUUGUGUAUCAACAGACUUCUGUAUAACUGGGAGCCACAUCUUGGAAAUGCUCUUUCCAAUGGCAGUGACAUCUGAGGAGAGUCCACUCUGAUAUGGACACUAUACUAGGAGGAGACAAGAGUACAGUAGGAAAAAAUUAGUCUGUGCGGUGAAGGAGUCCUACAUUGUCCCUCAGUAGAUUUCUAUAAAAUUUCACUUAAUUAGUAGCAAGUAACAGAGUUGGAAUGAGGACCUAGAUCUUUCAUUUUAAUCUAAUACUCUUUCUUCCACUAUUUUAGUUAGAGUCAUAUGGGCAAGCCCACAAUUAGUACAUGAGGACAUUUUUAAUGGGUAAGAUUACAGAGAACCAUUAAUUCUAGCCAUUAAAUUAAUCAAUUCAGCAAAGCUCUGAUUCCCCCUUCCCUUAAUUGUUAAAUAAGUAGUUCUCCAUUCAGUUGUUAAAGGAUUAUUUCUUGAUAACAAGGAAAUAAUAAACUUCUUAAGACACCCUGGUAUGAAUAGCUGAAAUUGAUUGAUAGUAAUCUCAGUAAAUCGUUUCAUUCUAAUUUUUGGUAUAUCUAUACUGCUUUGAAUAACUCUUCUACCUACAGCCCAUUAAUAAAUAUUUGCCUAGUCAAAUUUUAGUUUGUGCUAUACUCCUAGAAGGACAUGGGGUGUAUGGAAGCGAAACUAACUGGAUAUUUAAGGCAUUCAAUAAUGUCUUUUUGCUUCCGAUUCUAGCUGUAUAACAUAGGUAAAUCUCUUAAAUUCUCAGAACUUCAAUUCAUUUAUAUGUAAAGUGAGGAGUUGUACCAUAUUGGUAGUUAUUAACAUGUACUGUACUUAUGAAUCAGUCUGAAAAUCUUGCUAAACUGCAUAUUCUGAGCUUUUCUUAAUUUUUUUUUGUUUUCUCGGAAACGCUGAUUCUCUAGGUCUUGGUUGGAGUCCAGGUAUCUGCAAAUUAAAUAAGCACUUGAAGUGAUAGUAUCUGAGUGUCCGUAGGCAAAUGUUAGGAGAACUGAAUCAGAUGUUCUUUGAAAGAUUUUCAUGGUUCUAAAAUGUUCUGAUUUAAAAUCCACAAAGAAAAAAAGCAUUGAAAAUGAAUCAGCAAACUAGAUGUAAUUAAAGCUUCUUGCAAUUCCAUUAAUAAACUUUUUAGAAUGAAUUACACUUUAUGUCUUCAUUUUUUCUUUUACAUUGGCAUGAAAGCAGUGAACCCUGAAAUGUUUCAGUCCUUGAGUUCCCAAAGUUAUGUAAAAGCUUGAUAAUCUUAAUUAACCCACAUUAUCUCUUAUCAUAUAAUAAUAGUGCUUUCUAGAAGUUGACUAUCAGAUGGUGAAGUUAGGUUUAUAUCAGCUGGUCAUUACUUCAAGUUUUUAAGCUAUAGAAGUCUGAACUACCACCAAAAAGAGCAACUAUCAUUUUUUGCUCACAUAAAGAAGUAAAAAUCUUCAAAAUAUUCUCAGGUGUUCUAUAAAUAUUUUUCUCUCAUGUUCUAGGAAACCACCUAAAGUAUAUUCCAAUUGAUAAGCUAAAAUCACUUGGAGUUUGCUAAUUUUGAAGAUGAAAAAGCUCCAGGAGCUUUCACACAGCUCCUUAGUGGUUUCAGUGUGGCCUGACUAGUGGCUGGACUGUGCCACAACAACUUAUUUUAAAGGUUAUUGUGAUACUAUUGGUAAAUAAAUGAUUGGAAAACAUAGAUACCUAUCUGCAUGUAAAAUAAUAGCCUUCCACCACUUUCUCUUUUUCACUUUUCACAUUCCGAUCUUAUCCCUGUUUUACUACUUAUCACGUUGUAAAAUAAGUUUAUAUUAGAUUUUACCUGAAGAUAGUAAAGAUAGUAAGGAUGCUAAGGGUUUUCUUAGGAUACUUAGAAAAUAUAGUAAUUCUGUUAUCUCUCUAAUUAUAAUAAGAUUAUUGACUAAUAAUCUGGAAGUAUGGCCUCAGUACACUCACCUGAGCAAUGAGAGACUGGGUAGGCCUGAUAUUCUUUAUUAUAGAAACACAUUGUUUAGAAUAAACAGUUACGUAAUCAAACUGCUGUGUUAAUUUCUUGGUUUCGUCACUUGAUUGCUUUGUAUACUGGGCAAGUUAUUUCAGUCAUCUUUGAUUCAAUUUCUUCAUCAACAUAAAAACCAUGAUCACUAUUGUACAUACUUCAUGAACUUCUGCAGAUAUUAAAUUACUUAGUAUACAUAAUUAUACCAGUUAUGUCAUUUUUUAAAUUGUUGCUAAUACUGUUAAUCCAUUCAAAUAUUAAAUGAAAGCAUAGUUUGUAGUUCUGUAAGUUUCAAUACUUCACUAUAUAAUUUGAGUACAAUGCAUUAUUCGUAAGCUGAAUAUAGGGUUUUGGAUAUCUUCUGAAGGGUAGGUUACAAUAAAAUUGCUAAUUAUAGAGGGUUGCUAAAGGUAUUUGUACCCUGUGAAGUAUUCUAUUAUCAGUUCUAUUCUGGUUAUUCAAUGUCAGCCACAAUGCCUCUAAAAAAUUUGAAGUCAGCCUUUAUUUUAAAAGUGCCUUAAACAUUUCACUGAAAUAAUUAAAUGUAUUGGUUUAAUGGAACUCUCAUGAUACAGUAGAAGAAAUGGGCUGUUAAGAAUAUUGAAAGAAUUAAGAAGCAGUGAAUUUAAAGCGCCCUCUUCAACUUUUCUUAGAUGUUAUAAAUGUAACCAUUCCUACUAAAGUACACCAUACUCGAAAGAUCUUUUCUCUUUUUUUAUGAUUUAGAAAUGGUAGUUACAAUAUGUUGAAAGUAUAAGCCUUGGUUUUUUAUAUAUGAAAGCACUAUCAAAUCAUAAUGAAGGCAAUUUUUCCUAUAGUCUUAAUUUAGCUAUUUAAUAUAAAAUCAAAAAAAUGGCAUACAUAACUAUCUAGAAGUGUCAAUAAAUCAUUAGAGCGGACAUUCAGUGUUUCCAGUAAAUAAUUAUUAAGUAUAGAUUAGGUUGCUUUGGGAGAGUAUAACAUCUUAGAACUUUACUUCAUGAUAAUAAUCACCACUUAUUAAAUAUAUACUGUAUGUGACACUACAUACUAAACCCCUUUCAUUUAAUCUUACUUAAUAUCUCAAUAACCAGUGCUGAAUUGUCUUACAAAGUUGGUAUCAGCACCACCCCCUCUGAAUUCUCCCUGAUUCAAGGAAAAAUAGGAACUGAGUUCUAGUGAAUUCACUUCCACUUAUGGUUUUGACAUAGAGAGAAAUGAGAAAUUCUGUCUGAUACAUAAAAUGCAG
rnacentral:lncRNA from 1 species